ACUCAACACUAAUAAAUUAAAAAGAGUGAGUCUAAAUGCUAGAGCGUGCCUUUUUUAGGAUUUUCGAAUAUUUAGUUAGCUCUAAACUUGUAUAAAUAGAGUUU
rnacentral:sRNA from 10 species